GGAGCGUCGCCUUCUCACUGUCCAGAGGCCGCUCCUACCGUCGCCGCUCCGCUCCUCUGCCAGUGAUCUUUCCCCCUUUCUCUCUUGCUCUAUGAUGCCCUCGUCUUCUCCCAAAUCAGUGCCCUAAUCACCGUCGCAUAGAAAUCGCUUCUCGCUCCCAGGGAAGACAGGGCAGCAUCCGCCAACGCCACGGUCGCCGCUCCUCCGAUCCGCCGUCGUUGUUGCUAUUGCCCUCGUAUUCUCAACUUCUGGUACUUGGCGUUCGACAAUUCUAUUUAUUUGAUCACCAGAUCUAAUUCUGGAAUCUCUUUUUGACGUGACCAUUUUAAUUUCAUAAACAGUGUUUAAAUAAUUUCCUGAUAUGUAACUUGAUAAGAUGUUCCGCAAAUUGGAGCCUGGACAUGCUCGGUUUGUCGAUCAGCUUUCUUCCUUUUUCCUGAAUUUGA